CCUGGUUUCGAGAUCUAUUUAAGGGGCAUAGGCAGAGGAUCGAGAGUAGCACUGUGAGAAGAACAGAGAGCAUCGAAAGUAGAAAAUAGAAAAAGGCUUUUACAAUGAGGCAUGAGACUCCUUGAGAGAAAAGAGCAUGCUUUUUUCUUAUAUCAGAGAGUCUGUGUAAGCUUCUAAUUUCUUCUCUAAUUUUAUAUUUCUUUUACCAUGAAAUUAAUAGAAGAAUAUCGAGGAGGUCUUGCCC
rnacentral:lncRNA from 1 species